UACAGGGGGUGCAAACGUUGCUCGGAAUCAUUGGGCGUAAAGCGUGCGCAGGCGGUUUUGUAAGCCAGAUGUGAAAUCCCCGGGCUUAACCUGGGAAUGGCAUUUGGGACUGCAAGGCUUGAGUUUGGCAGAGGAGACUGGAAUUCCUGGUGUAGCAGUGAAAUGCGUAGAUAUCAGGAGGAAUACCGAUGGCGAAGGCAGGUCUCUGGGCUAGAACUGACGCUCAUGCACGAAAGCGUGGGGAGCAAACAGG
rnacentral:rRNA from 1 species